CACACAACUUCAUAAUCCACUCCGCAUGGAACCAAUGCAUGAUUUUAAAUCCAAGAUAAAGGAAAACAUGCAACAAUAUUUACGUACUCAUACUGCCAUGCUUAUUACAUACACAAAAACUACUUGCUAGGGCAUUGAAAAUUCCCUACCUUGCCUCCAACUCAACGUAGUAAACAACCAACCACCGUCCAUAACUGCCACAUGGUGGUUCAGUGGUAGGGGAAGAAUUUCUGAUCUGUAUUCCACAUGACAUGUUCCUGACGCUAGUGAAUCGCACGAUGGUGGGCAGGAGGAGGCUAAAAUGCAUCUGUGAGUCUUCCCAACUCACGAACGGCUAGACUACUGUGACGAAGCAACCAAUUAGUCUCCUUUUUGAAAGAAAAAAAAAACACAAAGACCAUCCAUGUAAAGUUUUGAUAACAUUCAAAUUAUGACAAUUUAUACUUUUUCUAAAACGAAUGCAAAUCCCUAAUCAUUGAAUUUUUGGCCUAGCAAUAGUUGUUAACCCAUAAUUAAAAUCUUUAAUUAAUCAUUUCUAAGUUGAAAGUAAUAUAGCUUAGAUCAUCAAAAUUUGUCAAACUUUGUUCUUAUAUUAGAGAAAACGAAAGGCUUACUUGGACAAGGCCCCUUUCCUAGAAAAUAAAAUCCCACCAUCACACACUACAUUCUUAGUUUAAUUCUAACUGAAUUAUAAUUGAUAGCUGGUCAGCAUUUUCUACGACGCGUGAACUAUAUAUAAUAGAAAACAAAAAAAAGUCAAUCUCUUACCGUAUAUCCCCAAGAACCCUAAUAAUUGAGGAAAAGUUGUCAUCCAUC
rnacentral:lncRNA from 1 species